rnacentral:rRNA from 1 species
UACGGGGGGGAGCAAGCGUUGUUCGGAUUUACUGGGCGUAAAGGGCGCGUAGGCGGCCACCGCAAGUCGACUGUGAAAUCUCCGGGCUUAACUCGGAAAGGUCAGCCGAUACUGCGGGGCUAGAGUGCAGAAGGGGCAACUGGAAUUCUCGGUGUAGCGGUGAAAUGCGUAGAUAUCGAGAGGAACACCUGCGGCGAAGGCGGGUUGCUGGGCUGACACUGACGCUGAUGUGCGAAAGCUAGGGGAGCGAAGCGGG